CCCUUAGAUGUCCCGGGCCGCACGCGCGCUACACUGAUGCAUUCAACGAGCCUAUCCUUGACCGACAGGUCCGGGUAAUCUUUGAAUCUGCAUCGUGACGGGGAUAGAUUAUUGCAAUUAUUAAUCUUCAACGAGGAGUGCCUAGUAGGCGCAAGUCAUCAGCUUGCGUCGAUUACGUCCCUGCCCUUUGUACACACCGCCCGUCGCUCCUACCGAUUGAAUGGUCCGGUGAAGCGUUCGGACCGUGGCCUUUGGACGGUUCGCCGUCUGUUGGCUGCGGGAAGUUCGUUAAACCUUAUCAUUUAGAGGAAGGAGAAGUCGUAACA
rnacentral:rRNA from 1 species